rfam:Streptomyces atratus strain OK807 genome assembly, contig: Ga0007934_1007
CGUCCCCGCGCUCCACGACGCAUAAAGCUUUAAAGAACCUGGGGAAAUUACCCUCCCCACCCAAACCCGACCUCGUCACUCACUCGGGUGACAUGGGGCAACUGGGCUGGAUUUCAUGCGGGUUCGCUGGCAUAUGCUCGCCGCGACAACUCCAGACAUGCGACGGCCCCCGACCGAGAUUCACCGUCUCAACCGGGGGCCUGACCACCGAGGAAGUAGGAGCUUCCCG